AACGUGAUGACGACACCCAUCUGUGAACCAAUAAGGCACCCUCAGUCUACUAUAAGGAAAUGACGCAAGACGAGAGAGCGCGUUUUUGCUUUGUUGAUAGCUCUCGCUUGUGUGUCACUGAAUCAGCGAUUAUGAUUUGUUAGUUGAUCUUGAGUUAUUUCUGAUCGCUCCCUUUACUCUACAUGUUGUAUUUGCUCGUCUCUGAUUUGACUCUGGCUGUUUGCCUGAUUGUGUUGUGAUGUGAUUCCCUUUCUCUCUUCAAGUGUUGAUGGCUGGAUUUAUCUCUUGACUCAUAGUGUUGAGACGAGGUGUCUAAAGUGUAUGUUCCAGAGUCGCUCCUCUCUGCACUGGGGCAUUGGCAGGUGCAGUCGUUGUCCCAGAGCUACAUAACACUGAUUACUCUCAGUAAAUCUACAGACAACAGGAUCCUGAACCAGCAAACCUGCAGAGGAAGAAAAAAUCAGGAACAUUCUUAAAAUUUUUACACACUGAUAUUAUUACACACCUCUUUAUCCUCUAAUAAAUGACACUCCAUUAUUACAGGAGAGCUGGAUUUAGUACUGUGCUACAGUUUUCAAUAAAGAAAUGAAAGUGGGGGAAAAGUGAACAUAUUUGGAGAAAAUCACUAAGAAGCAACCUGAAAUGUGUGUGUGUGUGUGUGUGUGUGUGUGUCUCUGUGUGUGUGUGUGUGUGUGUGUGUGUUCUCCAAUUGAUUACUUACUUUUUGAUUUUAUUUGGAAAAAUGGCAGCACAGGUGAUUAAAUGAUAAAUAAAUGAUAUCUCAACUAA